ensembl:ncRNA F57G12.8 ncRNA
GCAAGGCAAUCUAGGACGAGUACAUUUUCAAAGUAAAUCGAUUUGCGCGCUCACUCAGGCGCAAACCUGUUGUGUUGUCGUUGAUUGAGAAGACGUCAAGCGAGGUAAUCUAUAUUGACAGCUCGUUGUCGCUUCACUAAUUUACACGAUACGGGUGGUCAAACUAGAAGUGACAUCGUGGGGGCAUAAUGUCAUGUUUUGGUACUACGUGC